rnacentral:tRNA from 1 species
GAGGGCGGAGCUCAGUGGUAGAGCGCGUGCUUAGCAUGCACGAGGUCCUGGGUUCAAUCCCCAGCACCUCUA